rnacentral:rRNA from 1 species
GAUUGGUGCUUGCAUCAUGAUUUACAUUUGAGUGAGUGGCGAACUGGUGAGUAACACGUGGGAAACCUGCCCAGAAGCGGGGGAUAACACCUGGAAACAGAUGCUAAUACCGCAUAACAACUUGGACCGCAUGGUCCGAGCUUGAAAGAUGGCUUCGGCUAUCACUUUUGGAUGGUCCCGCGGCGUAUUAGCUAGAUGGUGGGGUAACGGCUCACCAUGGCAAUGAUACGUAGCCGACCUGAGAGGGUAAUCGGCCACAUUGGGACUGAGACACGGCCCAAACUCCUACGGGAGGCAGCAGUAGGGAAUCUUCCACAAUGGACGAAAGUCUGAUGGAGCAACGCCGCGUGAGUGAAGAAGGGUUUCGGCUCGUAAAACUCUGUUGUUAAAGAAGAACAUAUCUGAGAGUAACUGUUCAGGUAUUGACGGUAUUUAACCAGAAAGCCACGGCUAACUACGUGCCAGCAGCCGCGGUAAUACGUAGGUGGCAAGCGUUGUCCGGAUUUAUUGGGCGUAAAGCGAGCGCAGGCGGUUUUUUAAGUCUGAUGUGAAAGCCUUCGGCUCAACCGAAGAAGUGCAUCGGAAACUGGGAAACUUGAGUGCAGAAGAGGACAGUGGAACUCCAUGUGUAGCGGUGAAAUGCGUAGAUAUAUGGAAGAACACCAGUGGCGAAGGCGGCUGUCUGGUCUGUAACUGACGCUGAGGCUCGAAAGUAUGGGUAGCAAACAGGAUUAGAUACCCUGGUAGUCCAUACCGUAAACGAUGAAUGCUAAGUGUUGGAGGGUUUCCGCCCUUCAGUGCUGCAGCUAACGCAUUAAGCAUUCCGCCUGGGGAGUACGGCCGCAAGGCUGAAACUCAAAGGAAUUGACGGGGGCCCGCACAAGCGGUGGAGCAUGUGGU